AUCCCCCAUUGCCGUUCCCAUUCAUCAACAUCAAACCAUUUGCUUAAAUAUCCCCACCCCCACCCAAAAUCAAAUCAUUCUUCCUUACGCCUUAAGAUUAAGACCCCCAUAAUACCCACUCUCUCUUUCUCUCUCUCCCUCUCCCCCCCUCCCCUACUCAAACCUGUGUUGUGUGACCCCAUCCAAUCCAUCCAUCUACCAUACCACUGUCCCAAAUCUUGGGACGACUGCAUGUAACCAAGAUUCAUGAGAGACAACACACACCAAUUACAACUACUGAUUCAGCUUCAUUUCAAGAAAAAAAGAUUCCAUCUUUUUUCUUUUUUACUGUUCCAAAAUCCUCACAACUGUUUCUCUCUUCCGUACUGCUUUUCUUGUGACCUCUGAGUGGAAACUUCCAAGUCAAGAGGAAGAGAUAUAAAGAGGGAGAUUGAAAGAGCAGGCAUUUCAACAGUUCCCGUGAGUUAUGGGCUGCUGUGCGUCGAAAUUUCCACCAACCGAGACGCACCCGGAGAAGGAAAAGUCCCAAAACCACGGCCCAGCUUCACUUUUAAGCGCCCGAACCCCACCUCCGCCUCCCGCCGGCGUCCCAGCAGACCCCGGUGUAAUUCCAUCUUUUGCUGAGUUUUCCUUGGCCGACCUCAAAACUGCUACAAAUAGCUUCACCCCGGAUUUUAUAGUCUCAGAAAGCGGUGAAAAAGCCCCUAAUGUUGUUUACAAAGGACGCCUUCACAACCGCCGGUGGAUUGCCGUCAAGAAGUUUCCAAAGUUGGCCUGGCCGGACCCCAAACAGUUUGCGGAGGAAGCUUGGGCUGUUGGGAAGUUGAGGCAUCCGAGACUGGCAAAUUUAAUAGGGUAUUGCUGUGAUGGUGAUGAGAGGUUGUUGGUUGCAGAGUACAUGCCUAAUGAUACUCUUGCUAAGCAUUUGUUUCACUGGGAAAGACAGACCAUUGAAUGGGCGAUGCGCUUGAGAGUAGCUCUUUAUAUAGCUGAAGCCUUAGAAUAUUGCAGCAGUGAAGGCCAUGCCUUGUACCAUGACCUCAAUGCCUACAGGGUUCUCUUUGAUGAGGACGGUGAUCCUCGGCUUUCAUGCUUCGGGCUUAUGAAAAAUAGUCGAGAUGGGAAGAGUUAUAGCACAAAUCUUGCCUACACUCCCCCUGAAUAUUUGAAAAAUGGCAGGGUAACCCAGGAAAGUGUCAUAUACAGCUUCGGUACUGUCCUGUUGGAUCUGCUGAGUGGAAAACACAUACCUCCAAGUCAUGCUCUUGAUAUGAUACGUGGUAAAAACAUUAUACUUUUGAUGGAUUCACAUUUGGAGGGGAAGUUUUCUACUGAAGAAGCAACAGUAGUUGUUGGUCUUGCCUCUCAAUGUUUGCAAUAUGAACCUAGGGAGAGGCCUAAUAUAAAGGAUCUUGUAGCUACUCUUUCUCCAUUACAGCCAAAAUCAGAUGUUCCUUCUUAUGUCAUGCUUGGAAUUUCUAAGCAUGAAGAAGCUCCUCCAAUGCCACAGCGCCCCCUUUCACCAAUGGGUGAGGCCUGUUCCCGGAUGGACCUUACAGCAAUACACCAAAUUUUGGUUACCACGCACUACCGAGAUGAUGAAGGAACCAAUGAGUUAUCAUUCCAAGAAUGGACACAACAGAUGAGAGAGAUGUUGGAUGCUAGGAAGCGUGGGGAUUAUGCAUUUCGCGACAAGGACUUUAAGGCUGCUAUAGAUUGUUAUUCUCAGUUUAUAGAUGUCGGAACUAUGGUUUCUCCCACUGUUUAUGCUCGGCGCAGUCUAUGUUAUCUUAUGUGUGAUCAACCUGAUGUUGCACUUCGAGAUGCAAUGCAAGCACAAAUUGUCUAUCCAGACUGGCCCACAGCUUUCUACAUGCAGUCAGUUGCACUUGCCAAACUGGACAUGCACCAGGAUGCUGCUGACAUGUUGAAGGAGGCUGCUGGACUAGAAGAAAAGAGGCAAAAAGGUGGGAGGGGAUCAUAAGAGCGGAUCCUUUGAUCAUGGAUUAUUCAUUCAAUGCGAUCUUCCCAAAGUUGUAAAUCUGAACGAGAACUUUGCCAGUGAUGAUAUGAGCAGUGUUGACCCUAAUGUUUGUUUCUCCGGCAAGCUUGCUGAAAGGAGAAAACGAUGAGAAAUUUGUUUCAGGACACGUCGGUACCAUCCUUGCUUUUGGAGAACAGAAAGCUAUUGAAAAUGAAAGACCGGCGCAAAUCUAUAUUGAGGCCUUCAUCCUUGUCAUGGAUGCGUAUAAUUGUGCGGAUGAUUUGCUGCUUUUGUCACGUACACAGCAAGUUUUCGCCCAAGAAUGUCAAGAAAAACGGGUUGAAGAAGUAUUUGAUGGAUCUCAGGCUUGUGGAUGCAUGUGUCAGUGUGUCACAGCCAAAUAUCUGCUUUUCCAUGCAAAGCAAGAUGUGCUGGCGAAAAUGAGAUGCUGGGGAUCUUUGUGGGUUCUUGUCCUAGAAAAAGAAAGCACUUGCGGGUUCUUGUCCUAGAGAAAGAAAGCACCAAAGAUGAUACAGAAGGCCAGAAAAAAAAAUUAUCAGCAGUUUCAAGAUACCAAUGUCUUGUAGGAGAGGACAAUGACUGACCAAAUCAUUACGGAUAUAUGAAGAGAUACUUGUAAUAUCACACGCUUUCAGCAAUGGAAAAGUGGUGCCUUUUGUCUUUUCUACAUCCACAA